CAAGGGUCAAAAAAUAAUAUUAACAGAUAAAGAGCUUGAAAUUGCUGAGACAUAUGUUCUUGUAAAUUGCAAAGAAGUGGAACCUUAUCUCCAACAAUUUGAGGAUUCGCUAAAGGAAACAAAUCCCAAUAUUGAUGAGGAUGAAAUAGUGGAAACUCGCGAUAAAAACUUCAGUAAAUGGUUGAAACAUCAAGUAAGUACAAAUCAAGUUGAUGAUCAAAUGAUUAAAGAGAUAAGUUAUGGUCCAUCUAAAUUUGCAACUUCUUUUAAUGGCUUAAUAGUUAAUGGAUAUAGAUUUCAUACUAAGGACUAU